AGCGAACGCUGGCGGCAGGCCUAACACAUGCAAGUCGAACGAACCUUUCGGGGUUAGUGGCGGACGGGUGAGUAACACGUGGGAACGUGCCUUUAGGUUCGGAAUAACUCAGGGAAACUUGUGCUAAUACCGAAUGUGCCCUUCGGGGGAAAGAUUAAUCGCCUUUAGAGCGGCCCGCGUCUGAUUAGCUAGUUGGUUGAGGUAAUGGCUCACCAAGGCGACGAUCAGUAGCUGGUCUGAGAGGAUGAUCAGCCACAUUGGGGGUGAGACACGGCCCAAACUCAGCCGGGGGGAAGCGGGGGGGAAUCUUGGGAAAGGGGGAAAAACGUGACGCACCAAUGCCGGGGGAAUAAGAAGGUUCUUAGGAUUGAAAAAUUUUUCCAGGGGGGAGGAUAAGGGCGGUCCCGGAAGAAAAAGCCCCGGCAAAGUCCGUC
rnacentral:rRNA from 1 species